UAUAAAAUAACAUAAUUGUGGUCUCGAUGGUUGUAUGAUAGUAUAAUUU
rnacentral:guide_RNA from 1 species